rnacentral:rRNA from 1 species
AGAGUUUGAUCAUGGCUCAGAUUGAACGCUGGCGGCAGGCCUAACACAUGCAAGUCGAGCGGCAGCGGGAAGUAGUUUACUACUUUGCCGGCGAGCGGCGGACGGGUGAGUAAUGUCUGGGGAUCUGCCUGAUGGAGGGGGAUAACUACUGGAAACGGUAGCUAAUACCGCGUGACCUCGCAAGAGCAAAGUGGGGGACCUUAGGGCCUCACGCCAUCGGAUGAACCCAGAUGGGAUUAGCUAGUAGUGGGGUAAUGGCUCACCUAGGCGACGAUCCCUAGCUGGUCUGAGAGGAUGACCAGCCACACUGGAACUGAGACACGGUCCAGACUCCUACGGGAGGCAGCAGUGGGGAAUAUUGCACAAUGGGCGCAAGCCUGAUGCAGCCAUGCCGCGUGUGUGAAGAAGGCCUUCGGGUUGUAAAGCACUUUCAGCGAGGAGGAAGGGGUUGAGUUUAAUACGCUCAAUCAUUGACGUUACUCGCAGAAGAAGCACCGGCUAACUCCGUGCCAGCAGCCGCGGUAAUACGGAGGGUGCAAGCGUUAAUCGGAAUUACUGGGCGUAAAGCGCACGCAGGCGGUUUGUUAAGUCAGAUGUGAAAUCCCCGCGCUUAACGUGGGAACUGCAUUUGAAACUGGCAAGCUAGAGUCUUGUAGAGGGGGGUAGAAUUCCAGGUGUAGCGGUGAAAUGCGUAGAGAUCUGGAGGAAUACCGGUGGCGAAGGCGGCCCCCUGGACAAAGACUGACGCUCAGGUGCGAAAGCGUGGGGAGCAAACAGGAUUAGAUACCCUGGUAGUCCACGCUGUAAACGAUGUCGACUUGGAGGUUGUGCCCUUGAGGCGUGGCUUCCGGAGCUAACGCGUUAAGUCGACCGCCUGGGGAGUACGGCCGCAAGGUUAAAACUCAAAUGAAUUGACGGGGGCCCGCACAAGCGGUGGAGCAUGUGGUUUAAUUCGAUGCAACGCGAAGAACCUUACCUACUCUUGACAUCCACAGAAUUUGGCAGAGAUGCUAAAGUGCCUUCGGGAACUGUGAGACAGGUGCUGCAUGGCUGUCGUCAGCUCGUGUUGUGAAAUGUUGGGUUAAGUCCCGCAACGAGCGCAACCCUUAUCCUUUGUUGCCAGCACGUAAUGGUGGGAACUCAAGGGAGACUGCCGGUGACAAACCGGAGGAAGGUGGGGGAUGACGUCAAGUCAUCAUGGGCCCUUACGAGUAGGGCUACACACGUGCUACAAUGGCAGAUACAAAGUGAAGCGAACUCGCGAGAGCCAGCUGGACCACAUAAAGUCUGUCGUAGUCCGGAUUGGAGU